rnacentral:misc_RNA from 1 species
UGCUGCCAUCUGACGGUCUUUAGCUAUGAGAUUUCAGUUCACUAGAUGUUAGUUCUAUGUGUAUUCGUAGCGCUUUUAUGAUUUUUACUUUUUGCUGUGACGUAUUAUUAUUUGUUUAUUAUUUAUUUAUUCUUCUAUGAUUUAGUGUCAAAACCUGAAAGCUAGCUAUUUCUGUUAAAAUGGUAGUUAUUUACACUUAUAUAUCUUGAAAUAUGUGAAGUUGUCUAUAUGCGUAUAGGCUGUCAGAGCCAUGUACGUGAAAAAAUGUUUCGUUCCAAAAUGCCCCAAUACAAGUUUGGAUUUAGAUAAAAUAUUCAUAAGAGUUCCAAAAAUAAUGGAGGUGAGAAAGAAAUGGUGUGCUGCAGUCAAAAGGACGAAUAUUCCUUCUACAAGAACACCUGAUGUAUUUUGCUGUGAAGAUCAUUUUAAUAUGGAGAAAGAUUCUGAGAACUGGUUGGAACAUAAAAUGGUCAAAAUGAGAUUACGUAUGAAAAAAAAUUGUUUGCCACAUCUUAAUCUUACCUCUAAUGAAAAUAUUAAAGACUCCAAUUCAUCAGAGUUAAUUCUUGUUCCAAAAAAAGAGAAAGUUGAAAUGGUAGAGGUUGCUGACAAAACUGAUUGUGAGAAUAGUUCUCCAUCAACUCCAUAUAAUUUUAUGGGAACUGCUGCAAACAUUUAUCUUCCACCCACUUUGCGAGAAGAACCCAACGCAUCACAAAGGGAAAUUGGCAUACAAGUAAAUAUCAAGAAUCCAAGGAGAUCGAAGAAAAUUGGAACAAGCUCCGGAACAACGGAACCCGACCAAAACGACGAUGAAGACGACGUCUUUUCCGAAACGGAAGAAAAAAGCACCGACAGACCGAACAUUUCCCACGACGCCCAAGACGAUAGACUGGUCGUCACGACGGUUGUCGUAGAAGAUCAGGACGAAACAAAUGAAGACAUCGACAAAUUUAUGCAAAAUAUAGCCGCCAGGCUGAAGAGAUUACCGCAACAUUCCAUCGACUUGGCCAAAAUGAAUAUUCUCGCUCAAGUAACAGAGCUUGAAUUGGAACAAUCCUGGACGAUCUCAGCAUCAGAACCUUAUUCUUAACAAGACCUGAUGUGAUUUUUGUUUUUGAUCAUGAGCUCACAAUAUGUCAACUUGGUGGGUACCGAGUUAUUCGGGUUGAUGCAGCACGACAGAAAAUAUUUCAAACAUGAUAACGUAACAAAGGAAUCAUCUCGUCAUUUGUAUAAAUAGUUCAACUGUCGUCCCUUUCUGAAUGACGACCUUCAGAAGUUGUGCGAGCAACGGAUUAACCAGGUCUUACUUUUUAAAGUGCGCCAACCCAACUGGCUACUGUCCCGCUACUGGAACAAUCCUUCAACUUGUGUUGAGAUUUCAACUGUGUGAGAAUUUGAGGCUAGCAUUGACUGGAUGAUAAACCAUUUUUGAUGACUAGAUAUAAGAUAUCCCACACCUGCAACCAAUAGGCUAGUUCAAGGAAAUAACUUGAACACUAAUAAAGCCUUAAAGAAAAUUGUAGAACAAUAAAAACUAUUUCGCUGUCGAAUAAACCAUUACUUUUUGUGUUAAUUGAAUACCUCUACAGCUGAAGUAGUGGCAAGACAAGAGAUAGAAUUUCAAGACUAGUAAAAACCCUUCUGACAAGGCAUUCCAUAACUUGGUUGGUGAAAUGCUUGUUGUGAAGAAGGUAACAUUUCUGGUAUUUAGGAGCAGUUGAAAUGGAAAUGUAUUCAGUGUCUCGGGAAAACGGAUAUAUUGAAAAGAAAUUUUUGUUUAUGUGAAGUUAAUGUAAGAUGAGAAAUAACCUUACUGAAAAUUGGUAUUUGGAUUGCCUCCUGUCUGAAAAUUCCAUUAUUUGCUCCUGACAAAUAAUACAUUGUUCCAGAAUUGAAAACAUUUAAGUUUUUCAAUGAAUAUGAAGCCGUUUUUAAUUCUCGAGCUGUUCAAGAAAUUUAAAGUCUGAAGCAGCACGUAGAAUGAAAAUAAUAAUUUGAAGACUUCUCAAAGAAAAUAGUUUUGCUAUUUUGAGAUCAUAGAGAGUUUCACCAAUUGACAAAGACAUAAUUUUCCACCAUUUACUAGUCUGUGACCAUAUCUAUAUAAUUUUGUUACAAAACAGGUUGAUAUGAUUGAUGUCUUUGUUGAAAAUAUUUUCUGUUCAUUAUGGUGCAGUUGAUUCGUUAUUUGAAAAAAAAUAUUUCUCCAGAAUCAUACUGUUGCAGAAAUUUGUUUCAUCUUUUUUUUAGAUUAACAAAAUGCAUUUUAUUUUUCAAGUCGGUAUCUGCCGUUAGAUUUGACAUGAUUUGUAAUAGAAUAAGUGUUAUACUUUUACAUUUUUUAAAAAUAUAUAAAUGUUUUUAUUUUGAA